AAAUAAAACAAAACAAAAACAAAUGAAACACAGUUAUAUGACAUCUCCUUCACCGCCAUUUUCUUAUUUCCUCUUCCUACACAGUUAUCUUCUCUCAUUCUUUUCUUUCUUCAUUUUACACCUUCAAUCUUUAUCUUUUAUAAUUAGUUUUGUGAUCUUACUAGUAUAAUACUUCACAUCUUCAAAUAGGCUAGAAAAAGUUUCUAAACUUACGAUCUUGGUGCGUUUUGGGACGUCUGGGGCUACUUUAAGUGACGACUUUUCCCAAACUUUGAUAGUUUUUAAUCCUCUUUGGUGCGGAUACCGAUUUCAUUUUGGAGUCGUAUUGAUUGUGCUAGUUGGUUUGCUGUAAUUUAAAAGGUACCUGAAGGUUAGAGUCGGGGUACAAGCAGAGAGCUACGUGUGUAUAUAGUUAUAAUAUUUCUUUCCGCGUUAGUUUUAUGUAUAAUUAGUUUAAGACUUAAAGGUGUAAAUAUUAAUUUGCGCUAAAUCUUUUUGGUUAGGUUGUAAUAGUUUAACUUAAGUUAUGAUUUAGAUGUUGGUUGGAUAGUUUCCUUUGGAAUUAUUCUUAAAAUAAUCGUGGAAUAACACGCCUGAAAUUUCGAGUUAGGAGAUGUGUUGGCGAUUGAGCUAUGUGGAGCUGAAAACUUGGAAUAUGGAAUGAAUUUUUUUGUUGAAACAGGUUUAUAUUUUUGACGUUGGUCCUGAAUUAAUAUUUUAGGCAGUCCAUAUUUCAAAUGGAACUCUGCCGAAAUUUCGGUAGAAUUAUUAUGCAAUAUAAUAUAGUUUAGUUACUCGAAAUUCAGGGGUGUUAUAUUUAUUUCAGUUAGAGUGAAUAUUAAAUACUAAUUUUCUUAAGAGAAAUUUUAAUUCGAUGUUUAAUUCUCACCAGUUCCUCCCCUUACUUGUAUGUAUCUUGUAACCAAAAAAACACCGUCCACCACACUUUACAUAAUUUUUGUUUUACCCAUGAAGAAAGGAAGUAAUGACAAAGAGAAGAAUUUUAGGCAAAGAGCAGAAUUUUAGGCGAAGGGGAGGAAUGCCGAAAAUUAUUAAAAUUUCAGACUAUUUAAGUAGUUUUGAUACAUAAAAAGUAAAAUCACUAGAUCUUAAAACUUAUAGUGUCAAACAUUCCUUAUAAUACAAUAUUUUUUUAUAGAUUACGGCCGACUUUAGCACACUAAUAGCUUCGAUCCGCCACAAAACAAAAUGAAAAAAAAAAAAUUAAAAAGAAAAACACUCCAUCUUGUUGA